ACUAUUAUGGCAGAUAAAUGCAAAGAAUUUAAAUUUCUUUUAUACAGAAAUGUUUAUAGUU
rnacentral:tRNA from 1 species